UAUAUCUUUUUUAGUGCGGUUAACUACUCAUAAUCAAGAAACAGUUUGUUCCAAGGACAUUAGCGUAUUUGAGAAAAGGAUGUGUUGAGACUUGCAGUAAUGUAAUGUGUCACCAUUUUCUUGAUGCAUCAAGCUUAGGAGAUAUUGACUUCAUCAAUGAGUCUUGCAUUCAAACUUGUUGUCUUUCAAGAUCUGAAGAUCAGGGCAUGAACAUGUAUA